UACGAAGGGGGCUAGCGUUGCUCGGAAUUACUGGGCGUAAAGGGCGCGUAGGCGGCACUGUUAGUCAGGCGUGAAAGUCCUGGGCUCAACCUGGGAACUGCGCUUGAUACGGCAGAGCUAGAGGAUGGAAGAGGCUCGCGGAAUUCCCAGUGUAGAGGUGAAAUUCGUAGAUAUUCGCAAGAACACCAGUGGCGAAGGCGGCUCACUGGCCCGGUACUGACGCUGAGGUGCGAAAGCGUGGGGAGCAAACAGG
rnacentral:rRNA from 1 species